UCUUUUUAUGUUUAUUAGUUAACUUUGUGACAAAUCAUUCUUGAAAAAUUAUUCCAAGGCUGAAAACUGCCAUUUGAAAUGUAAACCAAGAAGGUGAGUGCUACUUUUAUAGAAGAAUGAUUACUUUUAACCACAACUGUGUGUUUAGCUUACGAUUUAAACGUUCACAAAAUUUCAGAUGCACAAUAACAAUAAUAUACUACUCAAUAGAGAUAUUCUGCAACCACAUGACUAAAAUACCUUAAAAAUGACAGUUACAAAACUUAUUGUUUAAACUGCAGAUACUGAAACUCCAUCUCCCCCUCCCCCUGCAGGAGGAGAUUUAGUAAAAUAGAAUACAAGAACAAAGACACUGGUAGCCAUGGACACAAAACAGGAAAGGAUAGCAGGUAGUGACCUAGCAAGUUACAGUACAGUAAACUAGCCUUACAUUUAUUCUAAAAAAUAUUGUUUUCCAAAGUAUUC
rnacentral:misc_RNA from 1 species